UUAAUAUUCAUGAGUGGAUUCGUUAUUUUUUCACAGUACUUAGCGAUUCGACAGAGGAAGAGCCAGGACGUAUCCCAUCCAUGAAUGUAUACCAGAAUGUAUUAUUUUUUUCAAAAUAAUAAACUAACAUAGCAGGUGUCCACACAUGCAUCUAACUUCAGAAGGUCAUGAAAGCUGCACACCAGGCAGACAACUUAUAAUUGAAUAUAUGAAUGGUCCGUUAUAUGGGAAGCUGAUAACACAAACCGAUCCCAAAUUCAGCUACAGUGAACAAGAUGAAGAAGCCUGACUGUCACAGAAUCAACACAUUGAUUAAGGAUCAUAGACUGUGUUUGGAAUGGAAUACUGCACAGUAUACACUUCAAAAACAAAAAUGACGUGAUCGUUUUACUUGACAAGACCCUUAUUCCUCGGCUGGGAUUGUGUAGAGCCCUUUGAAGCUGCACUGAAACUGCAAUUUGGACAUUAAACCCAUUGAACCCCAGUGAAGUCCACUAUAUGGAGAAAAAUCCUGGAAUGUUUUCCUCAAAAAAUUUGUUUUCGACUGACGAAAGAAAGACAUAAACAUCUUGGAUGACAUGGGGAUUCAGAACCUGAAAGAAACAAAAAGACACCCAUCAAACAUGGAUGAAAGGAAUAUGACAUAUUACUGAAGUGUCCUCAUGUGUUUUUUUUUCCCUCUUAUGAUUCAUGAAACAUUUUUGGCACUUCCAUGAAUACGGCCCACGUUGUUGUCCCAUUACUUUUUAAGAGGCAUUAGACGUGUUUAGAACUAUUAGAUAACUAUUAUCUAACAAAAAAUGAUCCUGACAUGAAAAGUAGCUAGUUUUCAACACAUAAAAUGUAUGUAUCCUUCUUUUUAGCCUGUCUUCACCUUCUUGGUUGUAUCUAACAAUGAAAAUCCUACAGCAAUAACAUAAUUUUGAUAAUCAAUUGAAAUUAUAUUCAAAUCACUGAAAUAAAAACUCUUUUUUUGUUAUUAAAACACAAUAUUUAGAUGUGUCCCACAUUUUCAGCACAACCCUGUUACUUACAUAAACAUAAUUAAAUACAAAAAAAUGCUCAUAUAAUAUUUUUGACAUUCUUUUUCACUUUUUAAGAGUUGCAAGCCUCAUUUUGUACCCUAUUGAUUACAAGUGUUUUUUAAACAAGUCAAAAUAACUGCUAAAAGUGCUAAGGUGUUUCAAUCAAUCAUAUUAAUCAAAAUUAAUUUGUACAAAACAAUGUU